rnacentral:rRNA from 1 species
UAAUCGGGGCAGGGUAAGUCGACCCCUAAGGCGAGGCCGAAAGGCGUAGUCGAUGGGAAACGGGUUAAUAUUCCCGUACUUCUUACAAUUGCGAUGGGGGGACGGAGAAGGCUAGGUGGGCCUGGCGACGGUUGUCCAGGUUCAAGUGCGUAGGCUUAAGAGUUAGGUAAAUCCGGCUCUUUCUAAGGCUGAGACACGACGUCGAGCACCUACGGGUGUGAAGUCAUUGAUGCCAUGCUUCCAGGAAAAGCCUCUAAGCUUCAGAUUGUAAGGAAUCGUACCCCAAACCGACACAGGUGGUCGGGUAGAGAAUACCAAGGCGCUUGAGAGAACUCGGGUGAAGGAACUAGGCAAAAUGGUACCGUAACUUCGGGAGAAGGUACGCUCU